rnacentral:rRNA from 1 species
AAGGCCCUAGCUUGCUAGGUGUCCUUAGUGGCGCACGGGUGAGUAACACGUGGGAACAUACCUCAUAGUACGGAAUAACUGCGGGAAACUGUAGCUAAUACCGUAUAUUCCAGAAAUGGGAAAGAUUUAUCGCUAUGAGAUUGGCCCGCGCAAGAUUAGCUUGUUGGCAAGGUAAUGGCUUACCAAGGCUCCGAUCUUUAGCUGGUUUGAGAGGAUGAUCAGCCACACUGGGACUGAGACACGGCCCAGACUCCUACGGGAGGCAGCAGUAGGGAAUAUUGGACAAUGGGGGAAACCCUGAUCCAGCAAUGCAGCGUGAGUGACGAAGGCCUUAGGGUUGUAAAACUCUUUCAUCGGUGAGGAUAAUGACAGUAGCCGAAGAAGAAGGACCGGCUAAUUCCGUGCCAGCAGCCGCGGUAAUACGGAAGGUCCUAGCGUUGUUCGGAAUUACUGGGCGUAAAGCGCAUGUAGGCGGAACAAAAAGUUAGAAGUGAAAUCCCUGGGCUCAACCUAGGAAUGGCUUUUAAAACUUUUGUUCUGGAAUUCAGGAGAGGAAAAUGGAAUUUCCAGUGUAGAGGUGAAAUUCGUAGAUAUUGGAAGGAACACCAGUGGCGAAGGCGAUUUUCUGGACUGAUAUUGACGCUGAGAUGCGAAGGCAUGGGUAGCAAACGGGAUUAGAUACCCCGGUAGUCCAUGCAGUAAACGAUGGGUGCUAGUCGUCGGACUUUUGUUCGGUGUCGUAGCUAACGCGUUAAGCACCCCGCCUGGGGAGUACGGUCGCAAGAUCAAAACUCAAAUAAAUUGACGGGGACCCGCACAAGCAGUGGAGCAUGUGGUUUAAUUCGACGCAACGCGAAGAACCUUACCGGCGUUUGACGUGGGAAGUGCCGGUUACAGAAUGGUAACCUUCAGUUCGGCUGGCUUCCACACAGGUGCUGCAUGGCUGUCGUCAGCUCGUGUCGUG